GCAAAAUGGAGGGAGUUGGCUGGAGGCAGAUGCUGUCUGGGCACUGGCUGGGCAUGGGUUGCUGGAUGGUUCCUGCACUUUUGAGCCCUCUCCAGCCCCAUUGGCAUGGGAGUGAGUGUGGCGCUGAGCUGCUGCUGGGUUAAACCACGUCAACUUUGUCUUCUGCACAGCAAGUCUGUAUGAAAGGCACAACACAGGAACUCUCGAGAAGUGGCUCCUUUGAAGAGAAAAGUAGCGAUAUGGAAAAGAAUAGAAACUGCAAAUGUGGUGGAGAAAAUAAACACUCUUCCUGAGCAUUUUCAUUCAUGAGAUACAGCGCAGUUCAACUUUUAAAUCAAGUCAGCUCAUACAAUUUCAUGGUGGUCAAAUAGGAGAGAGGCAUCUACAGCAUGGAGGAUUACAAGCAGCCUUGAACAGAUACUUAGAGACCAACUUCAGUCAAGCCAGAGUGGGAAAGCGUCUUUUCAAAGAGACAGGCGAGAUUAAAGUGUAUUUCCUG